rnacentral:rRNA from 1 species
AAUGAACGUUGGCGGCGUGGAUUAGGCAUGCAAGUCGAGCGAUAAUCCCCCGCAAGGGGGAGGAAAGCGGCGAAAGGGAGAGUAAUACGUGAAUACCUACCCUUGGGACUGGGAUAGCCGCGGGAAACUGCAGGUAAUACCGGAGAACGUCUCUGGACCAAAGGUGUGAUUCCGCCCGAGGAGGGGUCCGCUGCCUAUUAGCGAGUUGGUGAGGUAACGGCCCACCAAGGCAAAGAUGGGUACGGGGUGUGAGAGCAUGCCCCCGCUCACUGGGACUGAGACACUGCCCAGACACCUACGGGUGGCUGCAGUCGAGGAUCUUCGGCACUGGGCGCAAGCCUGACCGAGCGACGCCGCGUGCGGGAUGAAGGCCUUCGGGUUGUAAACCGCUGUCAGAGGGGAGGAAAUUUCGGAGAGUAAUAAAUAAUCGAUCCGGAUUGACCUAUCCUCAGAGGAAGGACGGGCUAAGUUCGUGCCAGCCGCCGCCGUAAGAC